AAUAUUGGACAAUGGGGGCAACCCUGAUCCAGCCAUGCCGCGUGUGUGAAGAAGGUCUUCGGAUUGUAAAGCACUUUAAGUUGGGAGUAAGGGCUUUAGGUUAAUACCCUGAAGCUGUGACGUUACCAACAGAAUACGCACCGGCUAACUCUGGGCCAGCAGCCGCGGUAAUACCGGGGGUUCAAGCGUUAAUCGGAAGUAUUGGGCGUAAAGCGCGCGUAGGUGGUUCAGGAAGAUGGGUGUGAAACCCCCGGGCUUAACCUGGGAACUGCUUUCAUAACUGCUGAGCUAGAGUACGGUAGAGGGUAGUGGAAUUUCCUGUGUAGCGGUGAAAUGCGUAGAUAUAGGAAGGAACACCAGUGGCGAAGGCGACUACCUGGACUGAUACUGACACUGAGGUGCGAAAGCGUGGGGAGCAAA
rnacentral:rRNA from 1 species